UCGUCUGAUUUGUUUCCUUCCCAAUCGAUCUCCUUCACGAUUUCCCCCAAAAAGCAAAUCCUCCCCUUCCUUUCAAUUUUUUCCAAACCCGAUCGCCAACCCAUCAUGUCCGUAGCCAUGGAAGAGAGAGGAGGGAGAGGGGAGAGGGAAGCGCGGCGGCCUCUGGUCCAUCAGACGGGAAAAGGACAUGCCUAUGCACUACCGCCCGCCACGCCGCUGCCGCCGCUCGCGUGGUCAUUCUCCUCCGUCCAUCCCCAACUCCAACUCGAUCUCCAGCUACCGCGACACCGCAGAUGGCCAGUCUGGGACUCUGGGUACACGCACCCGCCGCUCAUCAGAUAAGAUACCGCUGCGCCCGUCCUCCGGCCAAGAUCGACGAGACCACUCGAUCGCGUGGAGCUGGACAUAGGGCACUGCAUCCGCAAUGACGAGAAGCAGGUCGUACGCCACUGAAGUAUAGGAGCACCGCCGCCAGGUAAGCCUGCAAGCAGGAUGUCGUGCUCCAGGCCCUCCCUUCCACCUUCGGUCCAGAAGAUCCUGCACGGCUGCACCAAGCCUGCUUCUCAUGUUGAUGAUGCGCUCUUCAAGGAUGUAGUGCUGCAUGGGUUCCGGCGCAUGGGGAUGGCAAGAUCUGCAUCGUCCACAUCAUCGACGCGCAGUUGUGCUUUAGUUUGUUAGCUUGGAUGGGUUUGUGGCCUCGCCUCAUUAGGUCCGAGGACAAAAGUGCAUGGCGAAUAGAUACAUGCAGCACGGGACCCAAAAAAAAUUAGGUACAUUUUGCUGAUCCAAAAAUUAUGUUAUACACUAGAUCAAUUAUCUCGUCGAGCCGCCGGCACUGUCCCUGGACUCCAAUUCCAUGCAUGAUGGAUUUCGCUAUUGUACCAAGUAUUUGCUGAAUUUAUUGGCAUUCAUUCAUAUUAUUGGCCGGCGGUUAUGGUUUUCUGUUUUAUAGACUGAACCUUCAAGGGUCGCCAAGUUCAGUUUUAGAACAAAAGUUGCGGGAUAAGCUGGACAGCUGAAUGCGCAAGAUAGAUGAUGUUUGGAAUUUGGAUCAUGAGCUUCCAACAAUGACCGUGCGAGAUGCUGGACAUGGCGUGCAAGGCCGAUGUUGAUGGCGACACAUAUACUCAUCAGCUGCACUACUACACGUCAGGGAGGAGGAAGCUAGGGAACCCAUAUUUGAAACAGGAGAGCAAGGAAAGGUUUAAUGGUUACUGAUGAAACCAUUAAUCAAUAAUAAUGGUGAUUAGUUGUUCUUGAAUCACAAUUAAUCCUUGCAUAACUCCAUGUGUUGCUCUCUUGAGUGGGUGACCUGUGACCUGUUCUAUACAAAAGAAUAAUGGUGUGCAGUUUCAGUGGUGAGUGGACGCGAUAUGGCCGCAGACUAUAUUUAUCCUAUCAAACCAUCGGUAACUGAAAACUAAUCAUGUUGGUUGCAACGGGGGCAGCCUUAUAUUCCCCAAUGAUGUUUGUGUAAAUGCUAUAUCUAUUUAUUGUUCAAAAAACUUGCCUGUGUGCAGUUUUUCAUGCAUGACACUACAGAACCAAGUAUUGGUAGAUUUGGUAAUGCUUUAUUUAAAGUUCUUGUGUACAUCAGACUGACUAUUACCACAAACAUGCCAUUUAUAGCAUUUGAUGGGAGCCAAUGCCAAGGACUUUUUGUGUCCCCAUUUCUUUAGCAUCAUCAUGUUUAGUCAUUCCAAUUUUAGAAUCUCAUAAUGUGAUGCCUAAUUACUUUGACCGAAUAUGAAUACAGUGAUUUGUUGUAAUUUACAGAACAUUUUUUUGAUAUGAUGAGUUGUUUGCAAUGUCUGCUUACUGUGUUUACAGGACACCAGAUUUCAAUACCCCUUUGUAAUAAUUUCUUAGGUGAUUUGUUGGACAAGCACACACCCAGAUUUUGGGGAUUAAUAACAUCAGUAUGCAACUACAUCAGGGUUGUCAUUCGUCGCGCUCCGUUCCUGCCCCACUGCCACUGCCGCCGACAUGGUCUCUGCCCAAGUGCUGCCUCUGGGUUGCUAUUCUCCAUGCUCACGCCUUGCCUCUAGAUCGCCAUUCAUUACGCCUCCACUCGUUGUUGCCGGCAUGCUGAGAAGCUUCAAUGGAGCCUACUGGUUAAGGACGCAAGGCAACUCAGUUUCCCAGUGAGAUCAAUCAACACAUGCUUCAGUCACUUGGCGUCGCCAGCUUUCAUACAAUUGCCCAAUGACCCUUUGAUUUAAUUUUGCCUCUGAUUCUCAGCUACUCAAGUGGUUACCAAAAUAAAGGUUAGACAUUUUUACUGUUCUUGAUGUGAGGUUACUAAUGGAGCACCAAUUAUAGCCAUUGUGGACUUGGUAUCCAAAUUUUUAGCCGGUUUGAACAGAAUGAGAAUUUAUUAUGUUUGUUCAUAAGUUAUUCGGAUAACCAGAGUGACCUUUUCUGUUCAUGAUAUCAUCAUAAAAGUUGUGGCACUUGCCUUAAGUAAUUCCCCUGAAGCAAAUGGAAUGCAACAAGUUUUUUUGCCAAUUAAGUUUCUCUGUUUUAUAAGACAACUAGCUUUUGCUGUAAAUCCGAUGUAUUAGAUGCAAGCCUUCUUGGUUUACAUAUUUAUUGGCUAAAAAAUAUUUUGUGUUUCAAUGUACACGAGGGACUGAUGAGAGGUAUUAUAUGGAGAAUAUCACCAAGCUGAUAGUAGUGUAACCUUGAACAUACACAUGAUGAUUAGUCAAUAGAUAUUGCAUUGGAGUUUCUCUUUUUCAAAGUCUGCUCCGACCAAGCACUUACAUGUUCAGGUACAUAUGUUGGGUUAUGUCAAGUACUUUUUUAGUCUCUGCUUUUGUAAAUCUCUUGUGAAUUUUCAAUUGCGAAAUGUCUGGGACAAAUCUGAAGGAAGAAGUUCAGAAGUGUGAUUCAGUGAUAUAUUGAUCUUGCUGCAGAAGAAGGUAUGCAUAAUUGUACACAAAAGUUUGUAUCAACAUAUUUUGAUGUAUGCAAUGACAGUCCUUGCUAUUCUAGGGCCUGAGAGGUCUCUAUGAUAGGAACUGUAGAUUGUUAAACCAUAACAACAAUAUCUUUCAUAGGUAUGACAAAGGGUCAGAAGUUUAAGCAGAAUUUCUUCAGCGGCAUGCUUGUAUUGCAUCGUCAAAGUUGUUUGCAUGCAAAUCUUAGUUUGAACCAGAAUCAAGGUUGAAUUCGGAAGCACCAAAAAAUACACAUCUCAAAGGAGGGUUAGAAGAUUGUGAGCUAGAUGUACCAUCAACACGGUGGUGAGCAUAUUGGGGAGACCGCGAAGUGAUUGGUGUGUAUGAAGAUCCUAGCUGCAUUUUUUAACUAAAAUGUUUGUAUUUUUUGGUCCUUGCCUGUAUGUAUGGAAAAAGCACUUGUGGGUCCAUCUGAUUACAACUAUGAAUUUCUUGUUUGAAAUGUUGAGUUUUAAAACCCAAGUCUUAUGGUCUAUACUUUGUUAUGGAGAGAAACCAAACCAGAUGAUGGUUGCAACUAAUUGUACAUUCCUACUAUGUUUGCGACAAGAGCAUGUUGGUGCUAUGUACUCUCUGUUUCUCUUGUUGCAUCAAUGUUUUGAGCACCGGUCCCUUCUGUCUGGUUUGCGUAAGUGUUUUGAGCACUGGUCCUUUUUUCUGGUUAGAGGCAGAGGGAUGGGAGGGAGAGAUGUUAGAUGUGAUUAUCAUUGUGCGACUAAAAUAUGUUGUUGCUGCUGUUGCGUAGAUGAGAGAGAGAGAGAGAGAGAGAUCUUGUGUUGUAUUGUUUGCUCAUGUAUUUAUUUGAUACAAUGUGAAUAGCCGCAUGGAUUUGUGGAGUGAGGGGAACACCGAUU